GAUGAACGCUGGCGGCGUGCCUAAUACAUGCAAGUCGAGCGAACAGACGAGGAGCUUGCUCCUCUGACGUUAGCGGCGGACGGGUGAGUAACACGUGGAUAACCUACCUAUAAGACUGGGAUAACUUCGGGAAACCGGAGCUAAUACCGGAUAAUAUAUUGAACCGCAUGGUUCAAUAGUGAAAGACGGUUUUGCUGUCACUUAUAGAUGGAUCCGCGCCGCAUUAGCUAGUUGGUAAGGUAACGGCUUACCAAGGCAACGAUGCGUAGCCGACCUGAGGGGGGGAUCGGCCACACUGGAACUGAGACACGGUCCAGACUCCUACGGGAGGCAGCAGUAGGGAAUCUGCCGCAAUGGGCGAAAGCCUGACGGAGCAACGCCGGGUGAGUGAUGAAGGUCUUCGGAUCGUAAAACUCUGUUAUUAGGGAAGAACAAAUGUGUAAGUAACUAUGCACGUCUUGACGGUACCGAAUCAGAAAGCCACGGCUAACUACGU
rnacentral:rRNA from 1 species